AGCCAUCGUGAUCAUAUAUUCAAAAGAUUUUAGCAAGACUACAAAGUGACAUUAUUUAUUGUUGGAAGCUGAGUUUUCAAAAAUGGAAUCAAAAUGGAUAAUAGCUAACUCAGAAGAGACUAACACUGCCUUUGAAAAUGUUAUAGCCUUUACAAAUGACACUUAUGGACUGAAACAACCUCCAGUGAUCAGAUCAGCUGCAGCCAGUUCAAAUUUCUGUGUGUUAGCCAUAGACAGCAUGUUGGCUGUUGUUCAUGAACAGGAU
rnacentral:sRNA from 1 species